AAAUUAUUUCAGCUGCUUAUGGUGAGGUGCUGUGGACUGGUCUGCAAGCAGUCGCCGUUCUGAGGAAACUAUGUCCAUGUCAAGAAUUUCUCCUACUGGGGCAUCAUCGCUCACCGCCACUGGCAAACACGCAGCUGAAGACUUACAGAGAUAGAGUGCAGGAGAAAGGAUGGAGUGGGCAUGUACCAGGUGACAAGUCAUGGGACACAGAAAUGGGAAGUUGAGGAACAGGGAAGUUCUGAGAUGCCCAGCAUCUGGUAGUCAAGCCAUCAGGGUCCAUGACACCAUUUUUUUCCCAUCAGUUGAGUAAUCCAGCCGCUCACGGGGCUGCUGUCAGCAGAAUCUUCUUUCCAUCGUCUCUUGAAAACCAAUGAUGUGCCCAGCUCCGGGGUGAUGAUGGCUUUUGCCCUAUUUUCCGUGUUUUCUUCAAAUCCUGCUGAGUAACC